AACGAACGCUGGCGGCAGGCUUAACACAUGCAAGUCGAACGAGAUCUUCGGAUCUAGUGGCAGACGGGUGAGGAACACAUGGGAACAUCCCUUUCAGUUCGGAAUAACGUUGGGAAACUAACGCUAAUACCGGAUACGUCCUUCGGGAGAAAGAUUUAUCGCUGAAAGAUUGGCCCGCGUCUGAUUAGCUAGUUGGUGAGGUAACGGCUCACCAAGGCUACGAUCAGUAGCUGAUCUGAGAGGAUGAUCAGCCACAAGGGAACUGAGACACGGUCCUUACUCCUACGGGAGGCAGCAGUGGGGAAUAUUGGACAAUGGGCCACAAGCCUGAUCCAGCAAUUCUGUGUGCACGAUGAAGGUCUUCGGAUUGUAAAGUGCUUUCAGUAGGGAAGAAAAAAAUGACGGUACCUACAGAAGAAGCGACGGCUAAAUAUGUGCCAGCCGCCGCAGUAA
rnacentral:rRNA from 1 species